CAGACGGGCCCGCGCUGAUAUUGGGUUAAUAUGUCCCUCUUUUGCUGUCUGCUUCUCAUGAUGGUUUGUCUACCGAUGGGUGGGGAUUGCUUGAAGUCUGACCUCUGUGAUUCAGGUUGCGCUGACAUCCCCAGCUCUGACUUGUCCUAUCAAAGAGGGAUGAAGUUUACUUACAGGUUCAGCACAACAGUUACCACAACCCUGCAAGGCUCUAAUGCGGGCAGAGCUGGACUGGCUCUGGACUGUGUGGUUGAUAUCG